rnacentral:rRNA from 1 species
AUUGAACGCUGGCGGCAUGCUUUACACAUGCAAGUCGAACGGCAGCGCGGGGCAACCUGGCGGCGAGUGGCGAACGGGUGAGUAAUAUAUCGGAAUCUGCCCAUUUGUGGGGGAUAACCUCGGGAAACCGGGACUAAUACCGCAUACGACCUUCGGGUGAAAGCAGGGGAUCUUCGGACCUUGCGCAGAUGGAUGAGCCGAUGCCGGAUUAGCUAGUUGGCGGGGUAAAGGCACACCAAGGCGACGAUCCGUAGCUGGUCUGAGAGGAUGAUCAGCAACACUGGGACUGAGACACGGCCCAGACUCCUACGGGAGGCAGCAGUGGGGAAUAUUGGACAAUGGGCGAAAGCCUGAUCCAGCCAUGCCGCGUGGGUGAAGAAGGCCUUCGGGUUGUAAAGCCCUUUUGUUGGGAAAGAAAACUUUCCGGUUAAUACCCGGAGAGAAUGACGGUACCCAAAGAAUAAGCACCGGCUAACUUCGUGCCAGCCGCCGCCGUAA